GGGGCAUAUCCCAAAAGGAGGAAAAGAAACCAACAGGGAUUGCCCUAGUAACGGCGAGUGAAGCGGCAACAGCUCAAAUUUGAAAGCUAGCCUUCGGGUUCGCAUUGUAAUUUGUAGAGGAUGCUUUGGGUAAAACGCCAGUCUAAGUUCCUUGGAACAGGACGUCAUAGAGGGUGAGAAUCCCGUAUGUGACUGGAAAUGUUAACCUAUGUAAAGCUCCUUCGACGAGUCGAGUUGUUUGGGAAUGCAGCUCUAAAUGGGAGGUAAAUUUCUUCUAAAGCUAAAUAUUGGCGAGAGACCGAUAGCGCACAAGUAGAGUGAUCGAAAGAUGAAAAGCACUUUGGAAAGAGAGUUAAAAAGCACGUGAAAUUGUUGAAAGGGAAGCGCUUGCAAUCAGACUUGUUUAAACUGUUCGGCCGGUCUUCUGACCGGUUUACUCAGUUUGGACAGGCCAGCAUCAGUUUCGGCGGCCGGAUAAAGGCUCUGGGAAUGUGGCCUCCACUUCGGUGGAGGUGUUAUAGCCCAGUGUGUAAUACGGCCAGCCGGGACUGAGGUCCGCGCUUCGGCUAGGAUGCAGACUAAAUA
rnacentral:rRNA from 1 species